rnacentral:rRNA from 1 species
AGGAAUUGGCGGGGGAGCACCGCAACGGGAGGAGCGUGCGGUUUAAUUGGAUUCAACACCGGAAAACUCACCAGGGGAGACCAUCACAUGAAGACCAGGCUAAUGACUUUGUCUGAUUCUUGGAGAAGUGGUGCAUGGCCAUCGUCAGUUCGUACUGUAAAGCGUUCUCUUAAGUGAGAUAACGAACAAGACCCUCACUUAUAAUUGCUACUUCGGUCUCCGGAUCGGAGGCACAUUAUCGGGACCGCUGACGCUAAGUCAGAGGAAGGAGAGGUCAACGGUAGGUCAGUAUGCCCUGAAUCUCCUGGGCUACACGCGCGCUACAAAGGGCGGGACAAUGGGUUCCGACGCCGAAAGGCGAAGGCAAUCUCGAAACCCGUCCGUAGUUCGGACUGAGGGUUGUAACUCACCCUCACGAAGCUGGAUUCCGUAGUAAUCGCGAAUCAACAACUCGCGGUGAAUAUGCCCCUGCUCCUUGCACACACCGC